GUGAGCGGGUGUCUGAGGUCCAGUACCGGCCCCUGAGGGCAGAGACGGAGAGAUGAUGGACCCUCUGUUCUCACUAAAAGGCGUGUCCAUGGAUGUGACUGAUAAUUACUGCCAUCAAGGAAGAAACUGGGGAGGUCUCCCGGAUGCUGCUGCUUCCAGCCCCACUUGGAAUCCG